CCUCUCAUGGCGUAGUGGUAACGCGCCCUAACUAGACAUCAGGGAGUCGUGAGUUCGAUUUUCUCUGAGAAGA
rnacentral:tRNA from 1 species